rnacentral:lncRNA from 1 species
GGGUGAGAGUGCAGGUGGUUGUUAGAGAAUAAUUUGUACUGAGUGUGACCAACAUGAGAAAUCACUUGGAUGUCUACUCACUCGUGAGUAGUUUUCUCGAUGUUACAAUAGUAUGAUUGAUCCUUUGACCUGCGAUGUAUUGGUUAUUCAUAGUGAAGCAACUUAGUUUGACUAUAUGUUCUCUUGGUCCCUAGCCAUUCAGAUCCUUACUGUGU